UUGGGGGAGAAUUGGAAAAGAAAGAAAAAGUUAGGCAUUGAGCUAAUGUGUUGAAUGAAAAUGCAUGAGAAAAAGAUAAGAAAAAGAAAAGCAUGAGAAGAAAAGCUCAAUGUGAGGAAAAGGGGAAGUUGGGAAUGAGUGAGAUUGGUAAAAAGAGAGUUUGUGAUUGAACCAUGAUUAUGUGAAUAACUCUCUUAAUUCAAGGAUUUUGUGAUCUAGAAAAACCAAUUUUCCUUGUGAGCCCAACCACAUUAUAAGCCUUGAAAGGUCCUUAUGAUGACAUAUGUAUGUGAUGAUGUUUGAUUGUGGGAAAUGAAUGGAAAUUUUGUUCUAUGUGACGUGUGGAUAGUAGAGGGAGGGAGUAACCUUUGAUACACUUGAGUGAUUGAGUGAAACACCUUGCUUGGUGAGGAUAAGUCCAUGAAUCCAUGAUUAUAUCUGUGCUUAGUUAAUUGAUCAUUCAUAAGAGUAGCAUCUGUUAAAAAUUAUAUGAUUAUGUGAAAACUAGGUGAGUUAUGAUAAAGUGAAGCAUGUGUGCAUCUUGAUGAUAUUCCAUUGAAAAGUUGAAUUGAGUAAUUACUUGUUGUGAAAUGAUGGGUUUGAAUGUGUUGAACCAUGCUGAGGAUAGGUGAAAAGCUGAGUUUUGUUUGCUUGAGGACAAGCAAAGUUCUCAGUUUGGGGUUGUGAUAACGGUUCAAAACCGUUAUUUGCAUACUUAAUUUGGAUACAAAACACACCCUUUAUGACUUAGAAAUUAGCUUGAAAUCAUGCAAAUUGCUUUAGUUAGGUUACAAGAGCGUCAAAGGUGGUUUUAGAGAUAUUAUGCUUGGAUUUCCUUGUUUUAACAGGAUUAGACGAGAAUUGAAUGAAGGAGAUUGAAGUAGGAAGGAGUUGGACUCAAGAAAGGAUGAAAAAAGGUGCAAAGGAAGAAUCGUAGCCAUCGCUCAAUGUCAGUUUCAGCGCUGAGCGCCUUUUUUGUGAAGAGAGCCACUAUCAGAAGCUUAAGCGCCAAAGCUGAGGGGAAAAGAUAGAGCCGCGCACACCGUUGAGCGUCAGAUCCAGCGCUGAGCAUUGGCCUUUUCAGAAACAGCACUCCCAG
rnacentral:lncRNA from 1 species